UCUUAAACAAACGCAAUUUGAUCACUCUUUUGAUCUUCAAAACAUCCAACACAAGGGCGAAAGCGCGCUACAACAAAAAUCCGAAAUUUUUGUUUAGCACUUCCAGUUGGCUUAAAAAUUGCCUCUGAGAAGAUGCUCGAUUCGUACCAUACAAGUCAUAUAAGCCGAGAACCUAUCGCGGACUUUAAAUCAGUACGAGUCAGGAAGAAAUCGCAGCAGGAAAAACGAUAGCCGGCUAGUCACCACAUAAACCUUAAACCGAAAGUAAACCUAGGUCUUGCCCUAAACCCAACUCUCUGGUCUCUAACAUCUCAAGGCAUGAUAUCUAAAAAUUGAUACGAGAUCUUAAAACCAUGUCUCGCCGUUCGUUUCUAAACGUUCACAAAAUUCUGCAUCUUUUACGAACAGACGAAAGAACGCUACACUAUGAGUUAGGUAUGAGACGACAACUCAUAUUCUUUUCUCUCAACAAUUUAAAAAUAUACGCAAACUGAAACUCUUGAAACAUCCAUCAUAUAUAUAAAACCGCGUAAAGCGGUAAGGGAUUCAAAGCCACCAACGGCCAGUCCCGAUAAGCAAUAAAAACGGCCAAAACAGGCCCAUACAAUUUCUCGAAAUAAAGGCCACAUUCGGCCACAAACAUAGAACAGAAAGACAAGCAUCUCCCUCUCAAUAAUCACUCCACCUCUCAUGGUCCAAAGUCAAAAUCCCCGGACAACGAAGCACCAAACGCAUCCGC
rnacentral:lncRNA from 1 species